rnacentral:rRNA from 1 species
CAGGACGAACGCUGGCGGCAUGCCUAACACAUGCAAGUCGAACGGGGGUAGCAAUACCCUAGUGGCGAACGGGUGAGUAACACAUAAGCAAUCUGCCCUUCACAGGGGGAUAACAGCGGGAAACUGCUGCUAAUACCGCAUAAGACCACGGUACCGCAUGGUACAGGGGUAAAAACGAAUCAGUGGUGAAGGAUGAGCUUAUGUCCCAUUAGCUAGUUGGUGAGAUAACAGCCCACCAAGGCGACGAUGGGUAGCCGACCUGAGAGGGUGAUCGGCCACACUGGAACUGAGACACGGUCCAGACUCCUACGGGAGGCAGCAGUGGGGAAUAUUGGGCAAUGGAGGAAACUCUUACCCAGCAAUGCCGCGUGAGUGAAGAAGGUCUUCGGAUUGUAAACCUCUGUCCUCAGGGACGAAGAGGGUGUGGGAGACACACCGAAGACGGUACCUGAGGAGGAAGCCCCGGCUAACUACGUGCCAGCCGCCGC